AGUCAGCCGGGGAGGGCGAAAAGGAAGGGAUGGAAACCCUAUUUUCUUUUCUCCAAGACCAUGGUUGGUCUGCUUCCCUCACUCGGGCUCCUUGACAGUCUUCUAGAAGAGAGGAGGAGGAAAAGAAGCAGUUCCUGAUGUUACAAAUGAACAAGGAUCUCCCAGCCUUAGUCUUUGAGAAAAGAUGGCUGAAAGAGAGGAACUCUCCAAGUCAUUCCGCAAACAAAUGCCCAUUUAAACAUCAUCCUUGUCUUGUGAAGAAAACAGGAAGAAUGUCAUGCACCGUGUGGAUCACCUUCAGUUCAAAGUUGCAGCAAAGUGAAGAAACUACUGGAAGCCACCCAGCAAUGCACUGUUUAGUCAUCAAUUAGGAGCCCAUGGGAGGAUAAUAGGGAGACUGGGUGGAGGCUCAGUGUGUAAUAAUCUCUUGUCUAAUGUAUGUGUGUCACUGCCAUGUUGUAUGAACAAUAGUGAGGGCUCACAUUUACUUAACACUUGUGUACUCAAAUCUGGGUUUUUCUUUCUUUCCAGAACUAUGACUCAAUCAUAAAAUCUGUUUUGUUUGCAUGCAUGCCCAAAACAACCCUAUAGGUAGAACAUUAUCAUUAUCUCUGUUUUAGAGAUGAGGAAACAGGCUCAGAGAAGCUCAGAAAUUUGUUCAAGAUCGCACAGCUAGUAAAUGGCAGAAGUAGGAUUGUGAACCCAGGGAAUCUCCAGAGCCUCUGUGUAACCAUGAUAUUAUAUUUUUUUCCUCUUUAAAAACAAAAUUAAAAACCUUGCUAUAAUCUCUUAUUAGGAAAAGAUCAUAGUUUCUGAUUGUGCUCUGCCUUCCCAUCCUGCCAAUCUCCUGGACUGGGUUGGAGAAGACAGGGGGCCCCCGAGCUUCAUCUGUGACUCAAAGGAGUUUGCUGCUGUCUCCUGUGUCAGUGUCCCAUCUAUGCAGGAUCAGCACAGGACCCCCCUCGCCUUCCUACUUACACUCUAGCCUUUCCAUACAUUGGCAUUCUCUCCUGGCCCUAGCCAGCGCUCCACACCUGUUGGUGUGCCACCUCCCUCCCUCUUCCCCCACUGGCCUUGAACAGGCAAACCCCCUAAUGUUGCCCCUAGGUUGGGUCCAUGACUAGGACACCUGCUAGACGGUCUGUGCUUGGGCCUUUUCUAGGAAUCCUGAUGUUACUGGGUAAGUGCCAACUCUGUGGGCAGAAUGCUAAUGAUAAUCCUGUUCCCUAACCUCUUUCUCAGAAGUACCCUGGCUCACUCUCCCCAAUCUCAGCUUUAUAGAACAACAUUUUGGUCUUGAUUAUUCCCAUAUCAAGCUGCCCCAGGGCUUCGGUAAGCUGUUAGUUGCCCCACUGCCUCAAGGCUGGGUCUGGCUGAGCUACUUUCUUAUGCACACAAAUAAUGGGUGUCUCCUUGGAACCUGACACAAAACUAUCAGUGCUACCAAGCCUUGUAAAAUAGGGAAGAAACUAAUAUUUCUUGAGUGGCUUCUGAGUGCCUGGUGCUUUCACGGCUCUCUGGAGAGAUUCCUUGCCCUGAUGCCUUUGGUGUGUACUCCUCUCCCAGGACUUCAGCACUGAGAUUUUCCCAACCCCCUGGCUUUUCCUCACCUUGGGUUGAGUUGAUCCGGCACUACCACAAACCCCAGCAUCUGCAAACCAACCAAGAUUAGGCAGUAUGCCCUUUCCGUCUUGCACUGCUCUUCCAAAACUUCCAUCUGUAUUUCUCACACCCUCAGUAAGCAAAGCUGAGUGUGCGUAGACAGAGCUGCAUCCACUGCUUUCUCCCAACGGGUGCAGUCUAAUCUGACACGGGGAACACUAGGAGUUUAGCGGAAUCUUCAGCCACCCUAUUAAUGUGUUACGCAUUAGGCAUUGUAGUGGAAACUACUCUGACGGCUCAUGAUUAUAUGAACAGGAGCAAUUUGGAAUAUAACAUGUCAGCCGUGGACUGGGAGGUGCCGUAAGAGAAAACACUACCAGGGUCAUAGGCUUGGGUCCUUGAGGCAACCUAGCAGGGACGCUGUUGCCCAUUCCUCUCAUCCAGACUGCAGGUAUCUUCCUACACCUCCCUGUCCCAUAGCCUCCGUCCUGUUUUUUGUUUGUUUGUUUUUCUUUGUGAAUGUAGAAAAACAUUUCAUCAUGAGCCCUAGCUCCUCAGUUUUCCACCUAACACCCACAUUCCCUUGUUUCUAACUGCCGUGUUUUUCUGGAGCCUGCUGGGAUCUUUGCAGUUUGCAGAUCAUAGAAUCAGACAUGAAAAGGCUUCUCUUCAGACGUCAUUGGUUCCUGGCUCCUUUACAGAUGAGAACACAGGCCCAGAGGUGAGAAAUGACUCUAGCAGGGUCAUAGAAUUUGUUAGUGCAGCUCAAGAUGGGACUUAAACUCAGGCCUCCUGAUCACAUCCCAUUCCCAGGCUAGGAAACAGGUCUCUGCUCGGUGUGGUGGUUCAUACCUGUAAUCGCAACACUUUGGGAGGCUGAGGCAGGAGCGUUGCUUGAGCCCAGGAGUUCGAGACCAGUCUGAGCAACAUAGUGGGACCCUGUCUCUACAAAAACUUUAAAAAUUAGCUGGGCAUGGUGGCACACAUCUGUAGUUCCAGCUACUCGGGAAGCUGAGACAGGAGGAUCGCUUGAGCCCAGGAGUUGGAGGUUACUGAGCUAUGAUCGCACCACUGCACUCCAGCUUGGUGACAGUGAGACCCUCAAAAAAAAAAAAAAAAAGAAAAGAAAGAGGUCUCUACACAAGCCCGUGAUUCUUCAUGGCAAGGGAUAACAUCAGAAAUGUUUUAUUUUCUGCUAUUAGUUUCCAUUCCUUUCCCCAUCCAGGCAUAAAGAGAAACAAAAGACAAUGAUGGUAUUCUCUGUGUCCUCAGCUUUGGCACUUUUGUUGAUGUUGCUAAGGAGCAGUGACCUUGCUAAAAAGACUGAAUAAUCCACCCACUGAAUAGCUAACCUGGGAAGGAAAUGAAAAUUUCCUAUGUGGAUCUCCCCAAAUCCAUUGUUGUCACCAGGCCCUCCCAGAGCCUCCUCAGUUCCUUCACAGUGCAACCCUGUGUACUUGGCCCGCAACCCAAUAGUAUUGUGCCUCACUUCGCCUUCCAUGGGCAACUGCCCUCCCUUCUGGACAUAAA
rnacentral:lncRNA from 1 species